GACGAGAAAAGUUGUGUUCCUUGUUUUUUGUUUCCUUCCAGCUGCAGCAUCUUUGUCCUGUCACCACUGUACCUCUGAGAAGCUCAAUUUGCAAGGCUGUUUAGAAGAAGGAGACUGUGGACAUGGAAGUUGUAAUGAUACACGGUACUCAACUUGUUCAGAUGGGGACACGUGUCUUACUCUAAUUUACACGAACGAGACAGGAGCAACACUAGUUAGAAAAUGUGUAGAUAGUCGCAUAGAUCCCUUCACGCACUGCGACCAAAUCAGUCUUCAGCAAAGCCGACUAGGCAUAUGUAACACGUGGUUUUGUUACUCAGAUUAUUGUAACAACAGUAACAGUGCAGCUUACUCCAGUACGCUACUACUACUCGCUUUAUUCCUAACCAUAUUCCUUUUCGCUAAAUAACACAAGAGAGCACGUAUUAAUUAAUCCAGAUACCCAACCAUCAGAAUAGACCGCGUCUUCCGUCCGUAAGGAAUGGAUUGACGACGACGACUCAAGUGAAAGAACUGCAGAGACUUCUUGAAUGGUAACCACAUAUUGAAAAGAAAGAGAAAGAGAAAGAGAAAGAGAAAGAGAAAGAGAAAGAGAAAGAGAAAGAGAAAGAGAAAGAGAAAGAGAAAGAGAAAGAGAAAGAGAAAGAGAAAUAGAAAGAGAAAGAGAAAGAGAAAGAGAAAGAGAAAGAGAAAGAGAAAGAGAAAGAGAAAGAGAAAGAGAAAUAUAAAUUUCUUGAGCGUAUGAAUUCUUGAGGAGCAUUAUUAUACGAGAAAGAUUGAGGGAUGAGACAUCCAUAAUAUUUGUAAAUUCCGAUAGAUUUUUUAUUUGUGUUCAGCCUGAAUUUAUUUUACAGUAAUUAUUUCAACAGAACAAUAAUAUU